UAUGUCCUCUUUAGUAUAUAUACCACUUAGAACUAAAUAGAACAUUGUCAUAAUGGCCUCUAUAGGGACGUCUUUAACCGCGAGAACAUCGUAACUUCUUGGACUUGAAUAGUACCUUGUUGAAGUCAUCUUUUUAGGGACUCUUAUAACCGCGGAAUUAAGUUCACCUCAGUGAACUGGAUAGUGUGUUACUAAACAGACCACUUUAGGGAAGUUCGAAUAGCCG
rnacentral:rRNA from 1 species